rnacentral:hammerhead_ribozyme from 1 species
GUCCAGCUGACGAGUCCCAAAUAAGAUGAAAGGUGCGUCCUGGAU